CACAACAGGUCUACAAGUUUGUUAAAAUGUGAUCAUCUGACCAAGUGAAGUCAGCAAGAGUACUGUUUUCUAAAUUACAAACUCAGAGUACUGCAUCUUGUAUUCUGUGGACUUUGGACUCUCAAAUUCAACUUGCCAAGUUUGAACUAAGUACAUUAAUCAAGUACAAUUUUAAUGUGCUUGUACUUUACUUAAGUAUUUCAAUUUUAUGCUACUUUAUACUUCUACUCCACUUCAUUUCGGAGGGAAAUGCUGUACUUUUUACUCCACUACAUAUUUGUGAAAACUACUUUGCACAUCUUACAUACAAAAACAUAUAGUCAAGUUACAAAAUAUGAUACGUACACAGCAAUGUAGUAACAGCUGUGAUAUGUGGUCCCUCUUGAAAAUACACUUUAAUGUUUGAGAUGAGGGUUGACUAUGUGACUGCCAAUCCACCAAUAGGAAAGGAUUAAUAAUAUGUCAGAUUGUCUACCUGCUGAGCGUGGCUCUGGAACAUCAGGUACUGUUGGCACUGAUCCAGUCGACGUUUCUUCAAAGUCCAGAAAUGAAGGACUCUGUUUUCCCUCUGCAACAACUCACUGAGGAUGCCUGCGCACACAAAGACACACCUUAAUCAGUAAAAUUAACCCUUUACUGUCCGUAUGAUAUGUAAACUAAUUAACCCUGGUGUUCCUCAGGGCUCUAUCCGGGCUCCACUGUACUUCUCUAUUAUCACAAACUUAACACUAAACAUUUAAUUUGCAUUUCGAUGUGUGUGUGUAUGUUCGUUCACCUUUGACCUGUUGCUCUGGUACCCUUGAGUGCCCGGUGACCUCGGUAACCCCUGUUACCCCGGAGACGGUGACGCUGUGGCCGGAGAUGUUCGCCAUGGUGACGCUGUUGCGAUGGAUGUACUUGAGGAAAACUUCAGCGUUUCGUCUGGCAAGAGUGCAGGCCUGUUGCCAUGGAAACAAGAAAUCAAAGGCCUCCUUCUGUUCCAUGUGUUUGUUGAUGAGCGGCAGGAGCUGCUCUGGCUGUCUCUCUCCUCCUCCACACCAGUCCUCCUCCCUGCGGUACUCCUGCUCAAGACUCUCCAGGACCCCACACACCUGGAGAGGCAGACAGACAGUAACCUCUAUGGCCUGCUGGAGGCGCUCGUGCUCCCUCUGCAGCUGCUCAGCUUCAGACAAACAGCUGGAGUUCAACAUGCAAGAUGACAACAUGACCUCGCCCUCUGAGAUCCAACCCAGCACCUGAGACAGAGACAGAUGGGUGGACAGGUAGAGAUCAUCACCUUUAGUGCCCGGGUGUCACCUGGAUCUGCAGGAGGUGCUGCAGCUCCUCCACCUGAGAGGAGAGACCCCCCUCUGCCUCCGACAGCUCGAUACCUGAAAAAC